rnacentral:tRNA from 1 species
ACCUCCUAAGUAUUUACGUACAAGUGACUUCCACUCACUAAGUCCCCGCGACGCGGGGGGGAGAUA